UACGUAUGGUGCAAGCGUUAUCCGGAUUUACUGGGUGUAAAGGGAGCGCAGGCGGCGCGUUAAGCCUGGUGUGAAAGCCCGCGGCCCAACCGCGGGACUGCAUUGGGAACUGGCGCGCUGGAGCGCCGGAGGGGUAGGCGGAAUUCCUAGUGUAGCGGUGAAAUGCGUAGAUAUUAGGAGGAACACCAGUGGCGAAGGCGGCCUACUGGACGGUGACUGACGCUGAGGCUCGAAAGCGUGGGGAGCAAACAGG
rnacentral:rRNA from 1 species